rnacentral:misc_RNA from 1 species
UAGAGUUUUCUAAACUCCCAACCCAUGUGAACUUACCAUUGUUGCCUCGGCAGAAGCUGCUCGGUGCACCCUACCUUGGAACGGCCUACCCUGUAGCGCCUUACCCUGGAACGGCUUACCCUGUAGCGGCUGCCGGUGGACUACCAAACUCUUGUUAUUUUAUUGUAAUCUGAGCGUCUUAUUUUAAUAAGUCA